rnacentral:rRNA from 1 species
GGGUUGUGAGGUUAAGCGACUAAGCGUACACGGUGGAUGCCCUGGCAGUCAGAGGCGAUGAAGGACGUGCUAAUCUGCGAAAAGCGUCGGUAAGGUGAUAUGAACCGUUAUAACCGGCGAUGUCCGAAUGGGGAAACCCAGUGCAAUUCGUUGCACUAUCGUUAACUGAAUACAUAGGUUAACGAGGCGAACCGGGGGAACUGAAACAUCUAAGUACCCCGAGGAAAAGAAAUCAACCGAGAUUCCCCCAGUAGCGGCGAGCGAACGGGGAGCAGCCCAGAGUCUGAAUCAGCUUGUGUGUUAGUGGAACGGUCUGGAAAGUCCGACGGUACAGGGUGAUAGUCCCGUACACCAAAAUGCACAGGCUGUGAACUCGAAGAGUAGGGCGGGACACGUGGUAUCCUGUCUGAAUAUGGGGGGACCAUCCUCCAAGGCUAAAUACUCCUGACUGACCGAUAGUGAACCAGUACCGUGAGGGAAAGGCGAAAAGAACCCCGGCGAGGGGAGUGAAAAAGAACCUGAAACCGUGUACGUACAAGCAGUGGGAGCACCUUCGGGUGUGACUGCGUACCUUUUGUAUAAUGGGUCAGCGACUUAUAUUCUGUAGCAAGGUUAACCGUAUAGGGGAGCCGCAGGGAAACCGAGUCUUAACUGGGCGUUAAGUUGCAGGGUAUAGACCCGAAACCCGGUGAUCUAGCCAUGGGCAGGUUGAAGGUUGGGUAACACUAACUGGAGGACCGAACCGACUAAUGUUGAAAAAUUAGCGGAUGACUUGUGGCUGGGGGUGAAAGGCCAAUCAAACCGGGAGAUAGCUGGUUCUCCCCGAAAGCUAUUUAGGUAGCGCCUCGUGAAUUCAUCUUCGGGGGUAGAGCACUGUUUCGGCUAGGGGGUCAUCCCGACUUACCAACCCGAUGCAAACUACGAAUACCGAAGAAUGUUAUCACGGGAGACACACGGCGGGUGCUAACGUCCGUCGUGAAGAGGGAAACAACCCAGACCGCCAGCUAAGGUCCCAAAGUCAUGGUUAAGUGGGAAACGAUGUGGGAAGGCACAGACAGCCAGGAUGUUGGCUUAGAAGCAGCCAUCAUUUAAAGAAAGCGUAAUAGCUCACUGGUCGAGUCGGCCUGCGCGGAAGAUGUAACGGGGCUAAACCAUGCACCGAAGCUGCGGCAGCGACACUAUGUGUUGUUGGGUAGGGGAGCGUUCUGUAAGCCUGCGAAGGUGUGCUGUGAGGCAUGCUGGAGGUAUCAGAAGUGCGAAUGCUGACAUAAGUAACGAUAAAGCGGGUGAAAAGCCCGCUCGCCGGAAGACCAAGGGUUCCUGUCCAACGUUAAUCGGGGCAGGGUGAGUCGACCCCUAAGGCGAGGCCGAAAGGCGUAGUCGAUGGGAAACAGGUUAAUAUUCCUGUACUUGGUGUUACUGCGAAGGGGGGACGGAGAAGGCUAUGUUAGCCGGGCGACGGUUGUCCCGGUUUAAGCAUGUAGGCUGGUUGUCCAGGCAAAUCCGGAUAAUCAAGGCUGAGGUGUGAUGACGAGGCACUACGGUGCUGAAGUAACAAAUGCCCUGCUUCCAGGAAAAGCCUCUAAGCAUCAGGUAACAUCAAAUCGUACCCCAAACCGACACAGGUGGUCAGGUAGAGAAUACCAAGGCGCUUGAGAGAACUCGGGUGAAGGAACUAGGCAAAAUGGUGCCGUAACUUCGGGAGAAGGCACGCUGGUGUGUAGGUGAAGUCCCUGCGGAUGGAGCUGAGACCAGUCGAAGAUACCAGCUGGCUGCAACUGUUUAUUAAAAACACAGCACUGUGCAAACACGAAAGUGGACGUAUACGGUGUGACGCCUGCCCGGUGCCGGAAGGUUAAUUGAUGGGGUUAUCCGUAAGGAGAAGCUCUUGAUCGAAGCCCCGGUAAACGGCGGCCGUAACUAUAACGGUCCUAAGGUAGCGAAAUUCCUUGUCGGGUAAGUUCCGACCUGCACGAAUGGCGUAAUGAUGGCCAGGCUGUCUCCACCCGAGACUCAGUGAAAUUGAACUCGCUGUGAAGAUGCAGUGUACCCGCGGCAAGACGGAAAGACCCCGUGAACCUUUACUAUAGCUUGACACUGAACAUUGAGCCUUGAUGUGUAGGAUAGGUGGGAGGCUUUGAAGCGUGGACGCCAGUCUGCGUGGAGCCAACCUUGAAAUACCACCCUUUAAUGUUUGAUGUUCUAACGUUGGCCCCUUACCGGGGUUGCGGACAGUGUCUGGUGGGUAGUUUGACUGGGGCGGUCUCCUCCCAAAGCGUAACGGAGGAGCACGAAGGUUAGCUAAUCCUGGUCGGACAUCAGGAGGUUAGUGCAAUGGCAUAAGCUAGCUUGACUGCGAGCGUGACGGCGCGAGCAGGUGCGAAAGCAGGUCAUAGUGAUCCGGUGGUUCUGAAUGGAAGGGCCAUCGCUCAACGGAUAAAAGGUACUCCGGGGAUAACAGGCUGAUACCGCCCAAGAGUUCAUAUCGACGGCGGUGUUUGGCACCUCGAUGUCGGCUCAUCACAUCCUGGGGCUGAAGUAGGUCCCAAGGGUAUGGCUGUUCGCCAUUUAAAGUGGUACGCGAGCUGGGUUUAGAACGUCGUGAGACAGUUCGGUCCCUAUCUGCCGUGGGCGCUGGAGAAUUGAGGGGGGCUGCUCCUAGUACGAGAGGACCGGAGUGGACGCAUCACUGGUGUUCGGGUUGUCAUGCCAAUGGCACUGCCCGGUAGCUAAAUGCGGAAGAGAUAAGUGCUGAAAGCAUCUAAGCACGAAACUUGCCCCGAGAUGAGUUCUCCCUGAGACUUUAAGUCUCCUGAAGGAACGUU